rnacentral:rRNA from 1 species
GAUGAACGCUAGCGGCAGGCUUAACACAUGCAAGUCGAGGGGUAUUGGUUUUCGGACCAAGAGACCGGCGCACGGGUGCGUAACGCGUAUGCAAUCUACCUUUUGCAGAGGGAUAGCCCCAGAGAAAUUUGGAUUAAUACCUCAUAGUAUAGUACUUUGGCAUCAAGGAACUAUUAAAGUCACAACGGCAAAAGAUGAGCAUGCGUCCCAUUAGCUAGUUGGUAAGGUAACGGCUUACCAAGGCUACGAUGGGUAGGGGUCCGUGAGAGGGAGAUCCCCCACACUGGUACUGAGACACGGACCAGACUCCUACGGGAGGCAGCAGUGAGGAAUAUUGGAC